rnacentral:lncRNA from 1 species
CGCUCCCUGGCGGCGCGCGCACCCCCUCAGCCAGUCCUGGAGCGCCGAUCGGCGCGCGCCCAGACUCCUCGGACCAAUCAGCGGAGCUCCCUCUCCGCAGCGUGUGAGGAGGGCGAAACUAUCUCCAAGCUUCUUAGCGUGUCCGCUGGAAACCAAUCCCCAGCGUCUCCGACUUGGAUGUCAACGGCGGGAAUGGACGGAGUCACAGCGCCGGCCUCCUUCUGGCCAAUCCUGAGGGUUCCCGCACCGGCGUGGCCCGCCCCUCGCCUCGCUUUUCCGGGAGAUGCAUCCCGCAGCGCGCAGCGCCGCCACCCGCCGAGCGGUGGCGCGCGGCGCUCGCUAAAGAAGGCGGGAAGGGCGGUGCUCGCACCCGAAGUGAUUGGCAGGAGGGAGUGGGGCGGAGAUAAAGAGGGUUUUCUGAGAGUUUAUUGGCUGGAUUGGUAAUGGUGGCGGGAGCAGAAGGAGGCUCAGCUGGGGAUUCGCUGGAGAGAAGCGGAAGUCGAGCGCCACCGCGGUGUUGGCGAGUGUGAAGAGAGAGGAGGAGCGUUUGCGGCCUCAGCGUCUGUCAACAGAACCCUCUUCACCCGUGGUUAAACCCUCCCUAACCCUGAGCUCGUGCUCCCCUCCCGGUGGACGCAGACCUGACCACAGAAGCCCUGCAGCACUCACUGGGGGCUUGAGGGAGCCCCUGAGUCCCCUCCACCCUCGCCGCCUUCUCCUGGGUACCCAGGAAACGUCUCCAAGGGAGGCUGUGACCCAGGACCCCGCCUCGACCUCACCUUCUUCUGUAAGGCGCAGUGAAAGACGAAGAUGAAGACCCCCUGGAAGGCGUUGAAGGUGGUGAAGAGAUAGGCCAUGACCACCGACUCCUUGUUGAUGAAGAGGAGGCCGAAAGCCCAGUGAGAGCCUCGAAGAUGUAAUCACAGAGAGAGAGAGAGAGAGAGAGAGCGAGAGAGAGACAGAGAGAGGAGCAUCGGCUCACCAAGAAGGCCUGUCCUGGUCCCAGGGGCCACAGCGGGAUGGCCCCUACCAACCUGGCCCAGCCGACUUGUUGGAGAGGCAGGAUUUCGUCAUGUUGCCUAGGCUGGCCUCAAACUCCUGGACUCAAGUGAUCUGCCCAUCUUGGCCUCGUAAAGUGCUGGGAUUACGGCUGUGAGCCACCAUUCCUGGCCUUAUUUUGUGUCCAGCUUCUCUCACUCAGCGCCACGUUUCCA